GCUCUUGUAGCUCAGUUGGUAGAGUACGGGUCUUAUGAGCCCGGUGUCGUGGGUUCGAGUUAAAGUCCCACCAAGAGCA
rnacentral:tRNA from 1 species